UACAGAGGGUGCAAGCGUUGUUCGGAAUUAUUGGGCGUAAAGGGAGUGUAGGCGGCUAGGAAAGUCUUCUGUGAAAUCUACGGGCUCAGCCUGUAACGUGCAGAGGAAACUAUCUGGCUAGAGUGUCGGAGAGGAUAGGGGAAUACCCGGUGUAGAGGUGAAAUUCGUAGAGAUCGGGUGGAACACCAGUGGCGAAGGCGCCUGUCUGGCUGACAACUGACGCUGAGACUCGAACGAGCAUGG
rnacentral:rRNA from 1 species